ACUCUAACCAAUUAACAAUUUUCCCUAAAUCAGCUGUUAGGGCUCAUUGAAAUCAAACAAUUUCACUGUAUCAGGUUGUGGUAAACACAUCCUUCACAUUCUAACCUACUGGCUCUAAGUCCCUCCCUCUAGAAAGGUUACAACUCAUAAGCUCAUGCUGAGUCCCAAUCCCUCCUCAGCGGACCAGAGCUUGGAAGCAUCAUCUAGCCAUUGUGGGAUAAAGAUGUGAUCUCCAUCCAUGCUCUCUGAGAUCGUCAUCGAGGUCUUAUUCCUUUGCAGAUCACCUACAAAGCAGUCAGUUCCUUUGACCCGGAAAUAGAUUUAUCCAACCAAAGUGGGCGAGUUUCAAAACUGGGAAAUGAAACCCAUUUUCUGUUCUUUGGCCUGUAUCCUGGAACGACGUACUCCUUCACCAUCAGAGCCAGCACAGCGAAGGGGUUCGGACCUCCGGCAACAAACCAGUUCACCACAAAAAUAUCAGGUAUCAUACACUGAUGAGUUAUGCCUUGCAUCAGAAGCGAUGUUUCUGUGCCUUUUCAGUGCUAAGAUAGAGAUAAAAUGCAAAAAAACAACACGGCGGUAAAUUUUAUUAGUACAACUCUGGGUACCUAAAACAGACUCAUAGAAUACAAUAAAUGCCGUGUGUAUUUAGCGUCUGGGAUAUGGCCCUCUUGUAUUUAGGCAUGGCUAGUUUUACCAGUUCUCCUUGAAGGACUUCAGUACAAUGCAGAAGGUUCCGGUGAGGUUCUCUCUGGUCACCAGAGAAGCAGGGCUGGAGCGACUCUGACAUAAACCGCAAACUCAGCAUUAAAGCCGCACAUGCGCUCUACCAGGCCUCAGACUGCACCUCUGGUUGCUUUCCCUCCUACAAAGAGACAGCGUGCAGAGUGGUAGCAAACACCCAUGUGCUCCAGCUUUUUGCAGAUCCAAUUAUAUCAUCCCCCAAAAUAUAUAGUUUGAAGAAUAAUUCCGGCAUAUCCGCCUGUGCAGAAAACGUCUGUGUUCCUCAGGAGGAAGUUAGCUUGCCAUCUGGUAUGGGAUAUUUAACCACAAUAAACAGAAUUCCAUGAACGUUUUCUUAUUUUUCUUUUCUCUUUCCCCUUUGGCUGAGAGUGGGGAAAUAUUUGGGUUUUUUGGAUUGAGCUUUUUGUGGCGUGUUUUGUUAGUCAUCCCUCUGUCGCUGUGAUGAAAAUACUUGAUUUCCUUCUGUUUCAGCCAAACCUUUUAUAAAACAGGAGAUGAAGGGAAAUAAAUACAAAUUUAAAAAAAAAAAACAUGUUAAGUAUUGCUGAACUAGCCCUCAGAGCUGGUGAGAAAAAAAAAAAGGGGGGGGGGGACUUGAAAGAGGAGAGCUUUUCUUUACGGUUCAAAGGGCUCGGACCAUGGAUGCCUGGCACCAUCACUCUGGAUCUGAGAUGCUGUUGCUCGUCCUGGUGAGAAGCACAUGAUAGAACAUAGCUAUACACCUCUCUGUGACUGGAAAGACAGACAAUACAGGAAAGAUUCUGGGGCAAAAUCCACCCUUGACAUCCUUCCCCUGUCUGGCUCAUCAGUCUGAAAGGCUGCCUUUCCUAAUAGUCUCUUCCGGUACAAGCUCAUCAGUCAGGAGGUCCUUUGGUAAGAGCCGCGGUCUCCUGAGCUGCUCAGGACUCCGAAGCACUGUAUGCAAAGAACCAAGCGUCCAAGCUUCCUGGUGACAUUUUUAUAUCCAAAUGAUAGCACGACAUAUCCAUAUCAAAACAUAAAAAUGUAGAGAGUUAGGAAAAGGGCUCACCAGCUCCAAGGACUAGUUCAGUAAUAUUCAUCAUGGGUUUUUUUUUUGUAAUAUUUAUUUCCCUUCAUCUCUGUGUUUAUAAAUGGUUUGUUUGAAAACAGAAGGAAAUCAAGGUUCAAUAUUUUAAGUGCUCUAGGAGGUUUGGAGAGAAAAGGGUUUUUUUUUUUAAAUUAUAACUUAAGGAAUAUUUUUAUACAUCUUGAGGUUUUUAUGUGCACAGACUUGACUUGAAAUCUAAUAUAUAUCCCAGAACAGAGUUGGAAAAUAAGUUUUACUUGGGAGG
rnacentral:lncRNA from 1 species